rnacentral:rRNA from 1 species
UACGGAGGAAGGCGGGGAUGACGUCAAGUCCUCAUGGCCCUUACAUCCCGGGCUACACACGUGCUACAAUGGCAGGUACAGAGGGCUGCGAAGCCGCGAGGUGGAGCGAAUCCCAGAAAACCUGUCUCAGUCCGGAUUGAAGUCUGCAACUCGACUUCAUGAAGGCGGAAUCGCUAGUAACCGCGAAUCAGCAGGUCGCGGUGAAUACGUUCCCGGGCCUU